ACUAACCAAUACAGAAGAGUCAAUUCCCAUUGAACUUUUUGUAAGAACCACUGAGUCCUUUAGGUGUCACCUUGGGGACGCCAAGUGGAUUGGCUCCUAGUGAAUGGCUCUUGGUUGUUUUGAGUCAGUUUGCACUUUCGAGACGCUCCCUAAGUGUUCAGUUAGCUGGCAGUGUGAGUUUUGAAGCCAUACAGCCGUAGUGGAGAGUAGAAGAGAGACAGGCUGGCUCUCAUAUCACCGCUUCACAGAGUACGACUUAUCUUGCCUGCUCUCUCAUUUCCCUCACACACUUGUGCCGAAAGCCACACAUUAACCCUCCUGUCACUGGGACAAUGUAUACAGAGAACCUGAUGACUACUGGCUGGUGAAAAUAGAAAACAAAAGAACGAUCCAACGGCGGGAAGAGGGACGAUCCGGUUGGGAUCUUGGAAGCCGAUGCUGCAGCCAGGAGCAUCUGCAGGUUUAAUUGGGCGACUCAACCCGAGCAGCUGUGCACAGCCUACACGCAGAAGCUGAGAGGGACAGCCAAACCGAGGAUAGACGCGUACGCCGAGCUGACAGGGCUGGCUGAUGUGGACGUACCACCUGUCAAGUUCUAGCCCUGGUGAUGGGCUUAAUACCUUUGCAGACACUUCAGUUGUGAAAUAUGAAUAUUCACUGCUUCAGAGCCUGUUCUCAAAGAGACCUUAGGAUUGUCAGUCAUUUGCAGUGGCUCAGCGUUAAUUCCACCCGAACGCCGGGGCAGUGACGGUGCUCACACCCACAGGAUUUGUAUGGUGACAGCCAAAACACCAAGUUUGAGCUCUCGGGGAGUAAGAAGGGAGCACCCGUCAAGUUCCCACUGUGUCGAAGGCUUUCUGAAAUUCCUCUCUCCCCGAAUCCCCUCUUUCUUCCCAUCUUUCCUCAAGCCGGGUUAUGUCAUGCUGUAUAAUCUCUCUGAGUGUAGUUUCCCCAGAUGUUGUAAGGGAACGAAUCAUUCUUGUUCACCUCCAUGCACCAAUUUUUCGUUCACUAUAUCAUGAGCCUAUAGCAUUCAAGCAAAGAAUCUAGAAUCUAUUCUUUCUAGAGUUUCUUACUAGAUUAGUAGCUAUUUCUUAUAAUAAUAUUCCCAAAAUUUUUGUAAAAAUUUGUUUUAGCUGACUUUUAUACCGAAUUGGUUGAGUGAGUCAUUCAAUGAUUUACUCAUAAUGAUCCAAUGACUCAUUCAAAACUCAAAAAAUUUGAAUCACUGGAUUGAAUAUGCAGAUCAUUCUCAAUGUCACACAAUGACAGUGUCACAUCAGUUGUAACCUCAUUAAUCAUUCAUGCCCCGUUGCAUGCUGGGAAGAAGGUGAAUGCGAAUGAACAGUAUUGAUAUAAUAUUGUUACUGAGCAUUAUUUCCUAGAACGCUCAUUUAAGCAUGUUUUUAUUUGUAUGUAAUUGCAUCUUUUUUAUUGCAGUUGGGAGUUUGUCAUCGCAACUCACAUUCUAAUGUGAAAUUUGCAUUUCUAUGGUUAUUUUGUUUAGCAUUAUUUACUACUAGAGAGCUCAUUUAAAAUCAUAAGAAUUUUGCAUGCAGCUUUAUUAUUAUUUUUUUUUUUG